rnacentral:rRNA from 1 species
AGGUGGGUCUUUAAGUCAGUUGUUAAAUAUUACGGCUUAACCGUAUUAUGCAAUUGAUACUGGAGAUCUUGAGUUUGAGAGGGGACAGUGGAAUACCUAGUGUAGCGGUGGAAUGCGUAGAUAUUAGGUAGAACACCCGAGGCGAAGGCGACUGUCUGGCUCAUAACUGACACUGAAGUGCGAAAGCAUGGGUAGCAAACAGGAUUAGAUACCCUGGUAGUCCAUGCCGUAAACGAUGGGUACUAGUUGUCGGGGGACUAACCCCCUCGGUGGCGUCGCUAACGCUUUAAGUACCCCGCCUGGGGAGUACGAUCGCAAGGUUGAAACUCAAAGGAAUUGACGGGGCCCCGCACAAGCGGUGGAGCAUGU